AUGCUCGGGCCAGCGCCAGCCCCCGGCCUCCUCCGCUCUGCGACCUGUGAUGUGCUGCGGGGCAGUGACGCAGCAGCGCCGCCGGCCCCGGCAAUUCCUCUUUCGCUCCCGCCACAAGGGGAUUUUGCCCCAGAGCUGCCCAGGGACGACGCCGGUGAUGCCGCGCUCCCGGGGGCCUCCCGGAGCCUCGCGGCAGCAGGAAAACCGAGGCGGACAAAGGGAUGUGGCCGGGCGCAGGCGGCAGAGCCGGGAGCCCAGCCCCGGUGCGGUCCCUGGAGCGCGGCAGAGCCCCGGCCCCCACGAGCCCAUGCGGGCAGCCCCGGCCUCUUCCCUAUUCCCGCGCCGGGCAUUUGGCCACCACGGCCUGCCCCAGCGCUCCCAGGGUUGCACCAGCCUGUGCUUCCUCCCGCCGGUCCCGUGCUCGCGUCCUGUGACAGUGCCAGCCCCGCUCGCCCUGCCGGGCCCCUUUUCCCGCAUCCCCCCCCCCCAAUUCCCCGAGCCCGGAGGGGGGCAGGCGCGAGGCCGGAGCCCCCCUGCCGCCCCGUCCCGGCGUGGGGCUCCCGUCGCCGCCGCCGUGGGGAAGCCGCUGCCCGUGGCUGUUUUGACGUGCGCCCACCCCGCACCGACUUUGCGAGGAGCCAGCAGUGGGAAGCAUUGCGCCUCCCUGCCCCGGCUUAUCAGCGCUUACAGGAAACUCCUUCUCCCGCUCCAGCCCCUUCCAGGAAGGUGAAGCGCUGGGCACCGCGGCUGGGCCAGCACCGAGCCCGGGGCAGCCGGAGGGCCCCGGCCAGCAGGCAAAUAUUGACAGAGGCGGGAAGGCCGCGGGCGCCCGGCUCUGCUCUUUGCUCCGAGCUAACGGUAAAGAGCUGCCCUUGGGCGCCGGGGCCCUGCCGCCAGCCCGCGCCGGGCACCGGCCAGGCCUGCGGCACCACGCGGCCACCCGCUGCUGCCGCCCCGGCCCCAGGGCAGAGCAGCGGGGUCCUGUCCCUCCGCACGGGGUAG
rnacentral:lncRNA from 1 species